rnacentral:rRNA from 1 species
UACGGAGGGUGCAACCGUUGCUCGGAAUCAUUGGGCGUAAAGCGCACGUAGGCGGUUUGGUAAGUCGGGUGUGAAAUCCCUCGGCUUAACCGAGGAAGUGCAUUCGAUACGGGCAGACUGGAGGUAUGCAGGGGAGAACGGAAUUCCUGGUGUAGCGGUGGAAUGCGCAGAUAUCAGGAGGAACACCGGUGGCGAAGGCGGGUCUCUGGGCCGUUACUGACGCUGAGGAGCGAAAGCGUGGGGAGCGAACAGG